rnacentral:Y_RNA from 1 species
GGCUGGUCCGAUGGUAGUGGGUUAUCAGAACUUAUUAACAUUAGUGUCACUAAAGUUGGUAUUCAACUCCCUACUGCUAAAUUUGACUGGCUUAAA